UUGCUUGCUUCGGCAGCACGUACACUCAAAUUGGAAUAAUAGAGAAGAUUAGCAUGGCCCCUGUGCAACGGUGACAUGCAGAUUCGUGAAGCGUUGCAUAUUAAA
ensembl:snRNA U6 U6 spliceosomal RNA